rnacentral:rRNA from 1 species
AUUGAACGCUGGCGGCAUGCCUUACACAUGCAAGUCGAACGGUAACGCGGGGCAACCUGGCGACGAGUGGCGAACGGGUGAGUAAUGCAUCGGAACGUGCCUGGUAGUGGGGGAUAACUGCUCGAAAGAGCAGCUAAUACCGCAUACGACCUGAGGGUGAAAGGGGGGGAUCGCAAGACCUCUCGAUAUCAGAGCGGCCGAUGUCGGAUUAGCUAGUUGGUGGGGUAAAGGCCCACCAAGGCAACGAUCCGUAGCUGGUCUGAGAGGACGACCCGCCACACUGGGACUGAGACACGGCCCAGACUCCUACGGGAGGCAGCAGUGGGGAAUUUUGGACAAUGGACGCAAGUCUGAUCCAGCCAUGCCGCGUGCGGGAAGAAGGCCUUCGGGUUGUAAACCGCUUUUGUCAGGGAAGAAAUCUUCUGGGUUAAUACCUCGGGAGGAUGACGGUACCUGAAGAAUAAGCACCGGCUAACUACGUGCCAGCCGCCGCCGUAA